rnacentral:lncRNA from 1 species
CCACGGGUUACCCAUAAAUUUGCGGCUAUAGGUACCAACUUUUUCAGCCUAAAAAAUUACGGAUAAAACGGAUGAGCACCCAUUAAGCUGCGGGUAUUUUGGGUAACCCGCGGGUACCCACGGAUACCCGCACACAUAUUUUUUAAUUACAAAUAUAUUUUUUUAAUUAAAAUACAUAUAUAUUAUUUAUCCUUCCUAAAAAUUCUAAUUAUAACUUCUUAUCGCGUCUUUUAUAUUAUGAAUUUAAGCUC